UCCCUGAUGAUCUAGUGGUUAGGAUUUUGUGCUUUCACCACUGAGGCCCAAGUUCAAUCCCUGAUCUGGGAA
rnacentral:tRNA from 1 species